rnacentral:rRNA from 1 species
CCCUUAGAUGUCCGGGGCCGCACGCGCGCUACACUGAAGGAAUCAGCGUGGCUUUCUCCCUGACCCGAAAGGGUUGGGAAACCCGUUGAAUCUCCUUCGUGAUAGGGAUUGGGGCUUGAAAUUGUUCCCCAUGAACGAGGAAUUCCCAGUAAGCGCGAGUCAUAAGCUCGCGUUGAUUACGUCCCUGCCCUUUGUACACACCGCCCGUCGCUACUACCGAUUGAACGGUUUAGUGAGGGACUAGGAUUGGUCUCGGCCCGCUCUUUACCGGGCGGCGCCGUUGGUCGAGAAGACGCUCGAACUUGAUCGUUUAGAGGAAGUAAAAGUCGUAACA